UUGUUUCCUCAUAAUUGUUGCUGCUUUUCCACUUUGAUGUCUUUAAUUUAAUAAGGUUAAUUUCGUAACAGGAGAAAUAUCCUAUUUACACUAAAUAGCAACCCAACCCACCACACUGUUUUACAAAGUGAAAACUAAAUAAAUGUUUAUUUUCAUACUGAAAAUGUAUUUAUUUCUGAGAUUUAAACAAAACUCAACAUUAAUGCACAAAGCUGUUACGUCUUUACAGAUCAAACUACCAAAAAGAAAAAAAAAUCAAGUUUUAAACUCUGAAUUUUCUGCAGGUGGAACAUUUUGUUGGAUCUGGGUUUAUUCAUUGGGAUUUCCUAAGUUUUCCCUGUAGCAGUAAUGGGGGACAUAAUCAGGUUUGAAAGCAACAAGAGACAGUGCAGAGGCAUGGAAGAUAGGUGUAAAUCUGAUCAAAGUCCUGUGGAUAGUUUACUCAUUGAACACAUGUUUACCUGCCCCUCUGCUUGUAGCUGCUCUAAUCAGUGGCCUUUAUUCUCAGUUAAAGUACCCUGUGUCGUACUCUUUCCGUCAUGUUCACAUCCAUUUACCACUCAGCAGAGUGAGAUGUCUUGAAUGUGAAAGGAUCUGUCUGGGAGGGAACCAGCCUUCCACUGGGAGCCAGCAGGGAACACAUGCUGGAGAACCAUAAUAAAGGGAUUUGACCGCAUUCUCUGUUUCUAGUAAACCUAAACUAUAUUCAUUAGGACAGCAGUGCUAACAGAAGAGAGAGGUAGGAGCUGCAAGACUGGCAGUAGGAGCAGUAAGGGAGCUGUGCAAUGGGAUUUAUUCAGAAUCAGAACCUGACUUUGGGCAACAUUCAGACAGAGAUCCCUUUCAGGGAAGCCACCACAGCAUCAUCAACCGUCAAUAGCACCAUCAUAGUGCUGGGCAUGUUGACCUUUGGCCUGCAGCUGUGCUUAGUUCUGUUCUUCAUGCUGAGAUGUUGGAGGCUUGAACGAAGAGUUCACAAGGCUCUCAAACAACCAGACUCUGUUAACAAGCUCAGUGUGCUCCCGUACUGUUACCCAGAGGUUUAUAAACAGAACACCUAUUUGCUCUACAGUGAAUCUCCUUUUGCAUUGCAUACAUCCUCUGUAAUGGAAAACUACAAAGAUCCAACAGAUUAUCCAUAUUCACCAUCUGUUCCCUGGGACCUAGUACAAUAGUAAUAAAAAUAGGUUUUCACAUUUGAAUUGGAUGUGAUUUAGCUUUUCUGUCUUUAUUUAAUACCUGAUUGAUGUAAAAAUGCCUUGUAUGGAAUGUGAAAAAUUAAAUGAAAUGUACUACACGGUGGUUAUCAAAAAACAAACUUAGAGAUUUAUUACUUUCAUCUAUAUAAUGUGAAAGGUAUUUGUUGUGAAUGAACCAGCAGAUCAUAAUGUAUUCCCUAAGCAAAGCAAUUUUUCUAUGAACACAACUGACAAGCUGUGAUUUUAGUUUUAGCUGCAUCCUGAGACUUUUUUAAAGAAUGUUAGACAUGACUGAAAACACAAAAUGACUUAAACUGAAUGCUGAAGGUAAGUUUUGUUAAAAUUAUUAAAAUCAUACAACACUUCUCAUGCUUGUCCUUAUGUGACUUCAUCUGGUGACAUAAAUGAAAACAAUCUUAUGAGCCAUAGAUGUGAUGAUGCAUGCUUUAACGUUGACACAGAUUGUGUACGACUCUCUUUUUUAAGUACAGGAGGAAAUACUUAUUGUGCUGGCCUGUCUAAUAAAGAUGUUUUUGGCAAAAACAUCUAUAUUGGCAAAUCCAAAAACAUUUUGGUCUGUUAACGUAAA